AAUAGAUACCCCGGUAGUCCACGCCGUAAACGAUGAGUGCUAAGUGUUGGGGGUUUCCGCCCCUCAGUGCUGCAGCUAACGCAUUAAGCACUCCGCCUGGGGAGUACGGUCGCAAGACUGAAACUCAAAGGAAUUGACGGGGGCCCGCACAAGCGGUGGAGCAUGUGGUUUAAUUCGAAGCAACGCGAAGAACCUUACCAGGUCUUGACAUCCCGGUGACCACUAUGGAGACAUAGUUUCCCCUUCGGGGGCAACGGUGACAGGUGGUGCAUGGUUGUCGUCAGCUCGUGUCGUGAGAUGUUGGGUUAAGUCCCGCAACGAGCGCAACCCUUAUUCUUAGUUGCCAUCAUUCAGUUGGGCACUCUAAGGAGACUGCCGGUGAUAAACCGGAGGAAGGUGGGGAUGACGUCAAAUCAUCAUGCCCCUUAUGACCUGGGCUACACACGUGCUACAAUGGACGGUACAAACGGUUGCCAACCCGCGAGGGGGAGCUAAUCCGAUAAAACCGUUCUCAGUUCGGAUUGUAGGCUGCAACUCGCCUACA
rnacentral:rRNA from 1 species